GACGUAGGUGGCGAACGUUAUCCGGAAUUAUUGGGCGUAAAGAGCUCGUAGGCGGUUCGUCGCGUCGGCUGUGAAAACCCGGAGCUCAACUCCGGGCCUGCAGUCGAUACGGGCGGACUAGAGUUCGGCAGGGGAGACUGGAAUUCCUGGUGUAGCGGUGAAAUGCGCAGAUAUCAGGAGGAACACCGGUGGCGAAGGCGGGUCUCUGGGCCGAUACUGACGCUGAGGAGCGAAAGCGUGGGGAGCGAACAGG
rnacentral:rRNA from 1 species